rnacentral:rRNA from 1 species
UUCUGCUCCAUGAUAUGUUAAAUAGCCGCAGUACUCUGACUGUGCAAAGGUAGCAUAAUCAGUUGGCUCCUAAUUAGAGUCUGGAAUGAACGAACAUAUGGAGAGUAGCUAUAUUAGAUGCAUAAUUUGAAAUUGGCUGUGGGUGAAAAUCCCCACAACUUUCUAAAAGACGAGAAGACCCUAGAAACUUAUAUUAUUGUUUUGUUGGGGCGACAAAAUUACAUAUAACUAAUUGUUAAGUUACACGACGAAUUCAGAUAGCUAAAGUUACUCUAGGGAUAACAGCAUAAUAUUUUUUGUUUGUGACCUCGAUGUUGGACUAGGUAAAAUGUUCUUUAGAAGGGAACAUAUAUGCUCUGUUCGAGCAAGUUAACCUACGUGAUCUGAGUUCAGACCGGA